UGCGAGUCAACGUAGCAAUACGUGGCAUACGGCUCAGUAACACGUAGUCAACAUGCCCAGGGGACGUGGAUAACCUCGGGAAACUGAGGAUAAACCGCGAUAGGUCAUAAUGUCUGGAAUGAUUUAUGGCUAAAAUCUACAUGGCCCCUGGAUUGGACUGCGGCCGAUCAGGCUGUUGGUGAGGUAAUGGCCCACCAAACCUAAAACCGGUACGGGCUCUGAGAGGAGAAGCCCGGAGAUGGGCACUGAGACAAGGGCCCAGGCCCUAUGGGGCGCAGCAGGCGCGAAAACUCUGCAAUAAGCGAAAGCUUGACAGGGUUAUUCUGAGUGAUUUCCGCUAAGGAGAUCUUUUGGCACCUCUAAAAAUGGUGCAGAAUAAGGGGUGGGCAAGCCUGGUGUCAGCCGCCGCGGUAAUACCAGCACCCCGAGUGGUCGGGACGAUUAUUGGGCCUAAAGCAUCCGUAGCCGGUUCUACAAGUCUUCCGUUAAAUCCACCUGCUUAACAGUUGGGCUGCAGAGGAUACUAUAGAGCUAGGAGGCGGGAGAGGCAAGCGGUACUUAGUGGGUAGGGGUAAAAUCCGUUGAUCCACUGAAGACCACCAGUGGCGAAGGCGGCUUGCCAGAACGCGCUCGACGGUGAGGGAUGAAAGCUGGGGGAGCAAACCGGAUUAGAUACCCGGGUAGUCCCAGCUGUAAACGAUGCAGACUCGGUGAUGAAUAGGCUUCGUGCCUAUUCAGUGCCGCAGGGAAGCCGUUAAGUCUGCCGCCUGGGGAGUACGGUCGCAAGACUGAAACUUAA
rnacentral:rRNA from 1 species